UACGUAGGGAACAAGCGUUGUUCGGAUUUACUGGGCGUAAAGGGCGCGUAGGCGGCAAAUUAAGUCAGCUGUGAAAUCUCCGAGCUUAACUCGGAACGGUCAGCUGAUACUGAUCUGCUAGAGUGCGGAAGGGGCAAUCGGAAUUCUUGGUGUAGCGGUGAAAUGCGCAGAUAUCAGGAGGAACACCAAUGGCGAAGGCAGCUCGCUGGGACGUGACUGACGCUGAGACGCGAAAGCGUGGGGAGCAAACAGG
rnacentral:rRNA from 1 species